rnacentral:rRNA from 1 species
UACGAAGGGGGCUAGCGUUGCUCGGAAUUACUGGGCGUAAAGCGCACGUAAGCGGCUUCUUAAGUCGGUGGUGAAAUCCUGGAGCUCAACUCCAGAACUGCCUUCGAUACUGGGAGCUCGAGUCCGGGAGAGGUGAGUGGAACUGCGAGUGUAGAGGUGAAAUUCGUAGAAUAUUCGCAAGAACACCAGUGGCGAAGGCGGCUC